UAGUUGGUUUGCACUCGGAUUAGCUGCUCUUUGCCUAGGUUGUAGCUGUGGAUAUGAUUUCUGUGCUGAUGAGCCCAGUGCGGAGAUCUAUUGGCUGCCGGCUUUGUAAAUUUCAUUCAGUUUGGUCCAAUAGCAGAGGGAGAGCUCUGAGACAGCAGGACCUGGUUUCUCAGUCUCCCUUUUCCCCUCAAACCCUGUCUUUCUCCCUGUCUCCAUCUCCGGGUACUGAGCUCCUAUGCAGUCUCCAGCUCUGUGCCUCCUGCCCCAAUUCUGAUUUUAUUUUUCUUCUUCCUUUUUCUUGCUGGCCACUGACUUUCCAGAGCAGAAACGAGGAAUUCCCUCCGGAUUUCGGUGUCAUCUGUGGUCCUCACAUUCCUUUGGAUAAGCAGACCUUGCUGGUGUGUGCACAUCCUCCUGAAUCAUACUCCUGGAAAAAUCUGGAGAAGUGAAGAGAACUCUCGCUGCCAAUGUAACCAUGGACCGCCAAGGUUGUUUCUUAACCAACUACCCCGGGGCAAGUUGGAAUGGCUGUGAAGAUCUCCAUGAAUCCCCAAGUCUGCAGCAGUAAAGAUGAAAUUACAUGGAGAAGCUUAUUUGAAACAUUAUCAUAGUGUGGAAUAGUUCUUUCUUAGCUUCCACUUCGAUUCCUCAAGAGGGAGCAAUGUGCUGAGAUGGAAAAAGUAACCAAGUAGCUAUCCCUGGAGUGGUUGGAAAAGGCGCUGUGUCUUCAGGACUACGGAAUGAGAAAAUAAUGCAGGACACUGUGGGAGAAAUGAACUGAUAACCUUGUGCCGGACAAUUUGACUCUGCUCCAGGGAGAUGCUGAAGAGUAAUGCUUUGAAAAUAACAUCAAGAAAUGAAAGUUAACAUUUAAAAUAAAAAUAGCUAUCAGCAGUUUAGAGAUUCUGAAGGUCAUGCGGAGAAUAGCUUCACUGGAGUUAUAACCACUCUGCUGUCUCUCUCUCUGUCUUUUUUUUUCUCUCUCAUGCAUAGCCAAUUCUUUUUCUUAGCAAAAUGCUGGUGCUGCUUUAUAAGCUUAGAAACAAUAUG
ensembl:lncRNA